rnacentral:rRNA from 1 species
GCAUGUGCUGUGAGCUCGAUGAGUAGGGCGGGACACGUGGUAUCCUGUCUGAAUAUGGGGGGACCAUCCUCCAAGGCUAAAUACUCCUGACUGACCGAUAGUGAACCAGUACCGUGAGGGAAAGGCGAAAAGAACCCCGGCGAGGGGAGUGAAAAAGAACCUGAAACCGUGUACGUACAAGCAGUGGGAGCACAGGUUUACCUGUGUGACUGCGUACCUUUUGUAUAAUGGGUCAGCGACUUAUAUUCUGUAGCAAGGUUAACCGAAUAGGGGAGCCGGAGGGAAACCGAGUCUUAAUUGGGCGUUAAGUUGCAGGGUAUAGACCCGAAACCCGGUGAUCUAGCCAUGGGCAGGUUGAAGGUUGGGUAACACUAACUGGAGGACCGAACCGACUAAUGUUGAAAAAUUAGCGGAUGACCUGUGGCUGGGGGUGAAAGGCCAAUCAAACCGGGAGAUAGCUGGUUCUCCCCGAAAGCUAUUUAGGUAGCGCCUCGUGAAUUCAUCUCCGGGGGUAGAGCACUGUUUCGGCUAGGGGGCCAUCCCGGCUUACCAACCCGAUGCAAACUGCGAAUACCGGAGAAUGUUAUCACGGGAGACACACGGCGGGUGCUAACGUCCGUCGUGAAGAGGGAAACAACCCAGACCGCCAGCUAAGGUCCCAAAGUCAUGGUUAAGUGGGAAACGAUGUGGGAAGGCCCAGACAGCCAGGAUGUUGGCUUAGAAGCAGCCAUCAUUUAAAGAAAGCGUAAUAGCUCACUGGUCGAGUCGGCCUGCGCGGAAGAUGUAACGGGGCUAAACCAUG